ACGAACGCUGGCGGCGUGCUUCACCCAUGCAAGUCGAACGGUGAAGCUCCAGCUUGCUGGAGUGGAUCAGUGGCGAACGGGUGAGUAACACGUGAGCAACCUGCCCCUGACUCUGGAAUAAGCGCUGGAAACGGCGUCUAAUACUGGAUACGAGAAGGGUCCGCAUGGGCACUUUCUGGAAAGUUUUUCGGUUGGGGAUGGGCUCGCGGCCUAUCAGCUUGUUGGUGAGGCAAUGGCUCACCAAGGCGACGACGGGUAGCCGGCCUGAGAGGGCGACCGGCCACACUGGGACUGAGACACGGCCCAGACUCCUACGGGAGGCAGCAGUGGGGAAUAUUGCACAAUGGGCGAAAGCCUGAUGCAGCGACGCCGCGUGAGGGAUGACGGCCUUCGGGUUGUAAACCUCUUUCAGCAGGGAAGAAGCGAAAGUGACGGUACCUGCAGAAGAAGCACCGGCUAACUACAUG
rnacentral:rRNA from 1 species